rnacentral:sRNA from 12 species
CACCGCUUGGUGAAAAUAUUGCCGUCAGGACAGGGUUUAGUAAGCCGAAAGGAUUUGAAAGACCUUGCAGGCAAACAAGGAC